CAUGAUAUUGGAGGAAUGACAGAUGGAUUUCAGAGUGCCUUUUGGAAACAAACGUAUAAUGAUUUAUAGACAGAUAGUACAGAACAGACCUGAGAGGGAAUACACAUUUGACACUUAGCAAGGGAGCCACCAAUCAGAGGUGUGUUGACUGCCCUGUAAGCGCGUUGAUGGGCAAUGUGGCAUAGGUUACAUGCACGGUAAUUCAGUAUCUUGUUAUAUUCGUUUACUUGAUAACAUUUGAUGCCCAUUGUGCGAUGAUAUUCUUCCUUUAUGGAGUAUGUCUCUUUUAUUGAGAUAAUGUUGGAUUGCUGCGCGGCACUGGAAGUGGACGCCUCUGUAUUCGAGAUCGUUAACUGAUAUGUGCUGGUGUCUUGUCUCCCUUGAUGCGGAGAUACGGUACUCCUAGUACAUGAAAGGAACGGAUUGAUAUAUAUCAAAAAAUGAGAAAAAGAGGAGCGAUUUGGAUGUGUGAAUGAAUUGCUCCAUGGUUGGAAUUUUCUCGCAUGAAAGGGGCUCUUCUCAUCCGAUUCUGCGGUUCGGUGACUGCCUCCAAGUUUUGAGAGUGAACUUAUAACUAUGUGGUGAUCGUAUAGUGAAGGACCUUGGCUAGGAACUGAAACUUAAAUUAUUUACGGAGUUUAUAAGACCAUCGAUUUAUAUCUUGAUGUAAUAGAGUAGUGAUACUGG